rnacentral:rRNA from 1 species
AGGCAGCAGUAAGGAAUAUUGGUCAAUGGACGCAAGUCUGAACCAGCCAUGCCGCGUGAAGGAUGAAGGCCCUCUGGGUUGUAAACUUCUUUUAUCUGGGACGAAAAACGGGCUUUUUAGCUCACUUGACGGUACCAGAGGAAUAAGCACCGGCUAACUCCGUGCCAGCAGCCGCGGUAAUACGGAGGGUGCAAGCGUUAUCCGGAUUUACUGGGUUUAAAGGGUGCGUAGGUGGGUAAGUAAGUCAGUGGUGAAAUCUCCGAGCUUAACUCGGAAACUGCCAUUGAUACUAUUUAUCUUGAAUUAUCUGGAGGUAAGCGGAAUAUGUCAUGUAGCGGUGAAAUGCUUAGAUAUGACAUAGAACACCGAUUGCGAAGGCAGCUUACUACGGAUAUAUUGACACUGAGGCACGAAAGCGUGGGGAUCAAACAGGAUUAGAUACCCUGGUAG